rnacentral:rRNA from 1 species
UACGUAGGCAGCAAGCGUUGUUCGGAAUUACUGGGCGUAAAGAGUGUGUAGGCGGUGUUCCAAGUCUGGUGUGAAAUCUCCCGGCUUAACUGGGAGGGUGCAUUAGAAACUGGAAUGCUAGAGGAUGGGAGAGGUAAGCGGAAUUCCUGGUGUAGCGAUGAAAUGCGUAGAUAUCAGGAGGAACACCUGUGGUGUAGACAGCUUACUGGACCAUUUCUGACGCUGAGACACGAAAGCGUGGGUAGCAAACAGG